UACAGAGGUCUCAAGCGUUGUUCGGAUUCAUUGGGCGUAAAGGGUGCGUAGGUGGCGCGGUAAGUCGGGUGUGAAAUUUCGGAGCUUAACUCCGAAACUGCAUUCGAUACUGCCGUGCUUGAGGACUGGAGAGGAGACUGGAAUUUACGGUGUAGCAGUGAAAUGCGUAGAGAUCAUGAGGAAGACCAGUGGCGAAGGCGGGUCUCUGGACAGUUCCUGACACUGAGGCACGAAGGCCAGGGGAGCAAACGGG
rnacentral:rRNA from 1 species